rnacentral:rRNA from 1 species
UGGGGAAUUUUGGACAAUGGGCGAAAGCCUGAUCCAGCAAUGCCGCGUGUGUGAAGAAGGCCUUCGGGUUGUAAAGCACUUUUGUCCGGAAAGAAAUCCUUGGCUCUAAUACAGUCGGGGGAUGACGGUACCGGAAGAAUAAGCACCGGCUAACUACGUGCCAGCAGCCGCGGUAAUACGUAGGGUGCAAGCGUUAAUCGGAAUUACUGGGCGUAAAGCGUGCGCAGGCGGUUUGCUAAGACCGAUGUGAAAUCCCCGGGCUCAACCUGGGAACUGCAUUGGUGACUGGCAGGCUAGAGUAUGGCAGAGGGGGGUAGAAUUCCACGUGUAGCAGUGAAAUGCGUAGAGAUGUGGAGGAAUACCGAUGGCGAAGGCAGCCCCCUGGGCCAAUACUGACGCUCAUGCACGAAAGCGUGGGGAGCAAAACAGGAUUAGAUACCCUGGUAGUCCACGCCCUAAACGAUGUCAACUAGUUGUUGGGGAUUCAUUUCCUUAGUAACGUAGCUAACGCGUGAAGUUGACCGCCUGGGGAGUACGGCCGCAAGAUUAAAACUUAAAUGAAUUGACGGGGUCAUAGCUGUUUCCU